GACGAACGCUGGCGGCGUGCCUAAUACAUGCAAGUAGAACGCACAGUUUAUACCGUAGCUUGCUACACCAUAGACUGUGAGUUGCGAACGGGUGAGUAACGCGUAGGUAACCUGCCUGGUAGCGGGGGAUAACUAUUGGAAACGAUAGCUAAUACCGCAUAAUAUUAAUUAUUGCAUGAUAAUUAAUUGAAAGGUGCAAUUGCACCACUACCAGAUGGACCUGCGUUGUAUUAGCUAGUAGGUGAGGUAACGGCUCACCUAGGCGACGAUACAUAGCCGACCUGAGAGGGUGAUCGGCCCCACUGGGCAUGGGACACGGCCCAGACUCCUACGGGAGGCAGCAGUAGGGAAUCUUCGGCAAUGGACGAAAGUCUGACCGAGCAACGCCGCGUGAGGGAAGAAGGUUUUCGGAUCGUAAAGCUCUGUUGUAAGAGAAGAACGGGUGUGAGAGUGGAAAGUUCACACUGUGACGGUAUCUUACCAGAAAGAGACGGCUAACUACGUG
rnacentral:rRNA from 1 species